UUACGGCUAUAUCACUUUGAAACACCGAUUCCCGUAUGAUCACAGAAGUUAAGCAACGUGGAACUGCGUUAGUACCAAGAUGGGUGACCGAUUGGGAUUACUUGAUGCUGUAA